GUCCAGGGAUGGGAAUCGAACCCACAGUGUUCCGCUUACCGGGCAGAUGCCAUGUCCACUAGGCUACCCUGGGA